AAGUCGUAACAAGGUUUCCGUAGGUGAACCUGCGGAAGGAUCAUUAACGUAUCUCCGAGUCCGGCGGUCGGCCUCGCCGUCCCCCGGCUCGAAACCCACAAACCACUGUGCUCCUUUACGGCCCAGGUCGUCGGCGAAAGUCGUUCGGCCGAAGCCGCAUUCAAAUAGACUCCAGUUCAAAAGAAUGAAAAGCGGACUCUGAUCCGCCUACAAACUGAAACAACUUUCAACAACGGAUCUCUUGGCUCUC
rnacentral:misc_RNA from 1 species